AUCUGCCUUUCAGAGGGGGAUACCGAUUGGAAACGAUCGUUAAUACCGCAUAACAUAAUUGAACCGCAUGAUUUGAUUAUCAAAGAUUUAUCGCUGAAAGAUGAGCUCGCGUCUGAUUAGCUAGUUGGUAAGGUAACGGCUUACCAAGGCGACGAUCAGUAGCCGGACUGAGAGGUUGAUCGGCCACAUUGGGACUGAGACACGGCCCAGACUCCUACGGGAGGCAGCAGUGGGGAAUAUUGCACAAUGGAGGAAACUCUGAUGCAGCGAUGCCGCGUGAGGGAAGAAGGUUUUAGGAUUGUAAACCUCUGUCUUCGGGGACGAAAAAAGACGGUACCUGAGGAGGAAGCUCCGGCUAACUACGUGCCAGCAGCCGCGGUAAUACGUAGGGAGCGAGCGUUGUCCGGAAUUACUGGGUGUAAAGGGAGCGUAGGCGGGAUCGCAAGUCAGAUGUGAAAACUAUGGGCUUAACCCAUAAACUGCAUUUGAAACUGUGGUUCUUGAGUGAAGUAGAGGUAAGCGGAAUUCCUAGUGUAGCGGUGAAAUGCGUAGAUAUUAGGAGGAACAUCAGUGGCGAAGGCGGCUUACUGG
rnacentral:rRNA from 1 species